rnacentral:rRNA from 1 species
GACGAACGCUGGCGGCGUGCUUAACACAUGCAAGUCGAACGGAAAAGCCCUUCUUAUUUGGUGUGCUCGAGUGGCUAUCGUGUCAGUGACACGGACGUAUCCUUCCCUCGAGUUUGGGCUGCCUUCUGGAGGCUGGGGCUAAUACCGGAUAGGUGCUCCUACUGCAUGAGGGCGGUUGGUAAGUUUCGGCGGUUGGGGAUGGACUGGCGGCUUAUCAGAUUGUUGGGUGGGUAGGGGCUUACCAAGGCAUGGACGGGUAGCCGGCCUGAGAGGGUUACCGGCCAGAUUGGGACUGAGAUACGGCCCAGACUCCUAUGGGAGGGAGCAGAGGGGAAGAUUGCACUAUGGGCGGAAGCCUGAUGCAGCAACGCCGCGUGGGGGAUGACGGCCAGCGGGUUGGAAUCCGCUUCCGCCUGUGACGAAGCGUGAGUGACGGUAAUGGGUAAAGAAGCACCGGCUAACUACGUG